rnacentral:rRNA from 1 species
CCUACGGGUGGCAGCAGUGGGGGAUAUUGGACAAUGGGCGCAAGCCUGACCCAGCAACGCCGCGUGAAGGAUGAAGGUUUUCGGAUUGUAAACUUCUGUCGCGAGGGACGAAGAAUGACGGUACCUCGUAAGAAAGCCCCGGCUAACUACGUGCCAGCAGCCGCGGUAAUACGUAGGGGGCAAGCGUUGGCCGGAAUGACUGGGCGUAAAGGGAGUGUAGGUGGCCUUGGAAGUGAGAUGUGAAAUCCUACGGCUUAAACGUAGAACUGCAUCGAAAGCUGUGAGGCUGGAGUGCAGGAGAGGUGAGUGGAGUUCCUAGUGUAGCGGUGGAAGGCGUAGAUAGUAGGAGGAACACCAGAGGCGAAGGCGACUCACUGGACUGUAACUGACGCUGAGGCUCGAAAGCGUGGGGAGCAAACAGGAUUAGAUACCCUUGUAGUC